AAUGCCAACUCUCAUGAAACAAUCACAAGACUCCUGACUUCCAAAUCAAACGAACUCUAACUCAUGAUCUCGGGAUACAACCCUCAAAUCUCAGGUGUUUUUCUUCUGGUGCGUGUCGAGAGCACCCAGCUGUGCUUCCUGGCUUGCUUUAACAAGGAGCUGCUUGGACUCAGCAAAGCGGGGAGAGCUCCGUAUCCAGCUCAUACCAAGGCUGUUCCAGGGACCUGUGUGCUGCAAUGCCCAAUCAACGCUUUCUCCCUGCCAUGGUUCACCAGCCUGUGGGUGCAUAUACAGGGCCUGUGUGGGUGUGUCUCCUCCUAGCCACACUGGUCUGUGGGAAUCAAUCCUGGAAGAAGUGUCCAGGUCCCCCCUUAGUUAAUUGCUCCAGGGCUACCAGCUGCUGUGCAAACAUAGGAGAGUCCUUGGACAUCUGGAUCAGCUCAUCAAUCACCCGCUUUGACUUUUGCAAGUGCAAUGCCUCAAGAUGUUGGCUGGCCUACACCUUCUCAAAGGUGACUUCAGUGAACUACACAAACGACUUCCAAGGACAGGCGACUGUGAAGCAAGGGACUUUCCAUGCCCCAGAAGUCAGCAAAGGGGAUGUCGGUUCCUACAGGUUUUUCAAUAUGGAUGACAAUACCUGUCUGCUAAAGGUUGACAUUGAACUGCCAGGAGCUGCAGUCUGGCCUUCCUGCACAAUUCUACUGCUGUUGUUGAGCCUGGUGACUUCAGUUGUUUUCUGACAGGAAAUGAAAGGGACCUUGAGCCAUCUUGGAUGACAAACUCAUGGUGCAGGCAAGGCAGAAGAAUUGUGAUAUUUCAGCCUGUUUGAAAUAAAAAGAAGGAAGAAGCUAUAAAGACAAGAAGGAAAGAGGGCAGCAACAAAAAGGAAAACAUCAAAAUAAAAGCCAGGGAAAAGAAGAUGAUGAAAGGUGUAAAUGCCAAUAACGUUCACUAAAACAUAUACCCAAAAACUGAGAAUAAAAUAACAACAAAAACAAAAAUAGAGGGGAAAAUCCAAAAACUUUAGUCCAGAAAAAAUAAUGUCAAAGCUGAAAUACUGGAAAAUGUGAAAAAUUAAAAUGAAAACUUGAGGAAAUUAAAUAUAAAAGCUUGAUGAAAAAGCAAAAACCUAGAAAAGAAGUUAAAAAGAGGUGGCAGCUGGGGGGCAGGGAGACAACUCUGUCAUACCAACAUUGAAAAAUGGAACAAAUGUCCAAACCCAACCAUAUGAAGAAAGAAAGAAAUCUACUUUGAAAAGAUUCAAGAGUGUCACUAUGAAACUGAAACUAUGACCGGAUUACAAAAUUCUGCCUGAGAAAUAAGAGAUAUUACUUGUGUAAUAGUAGUCAAGCUCUAUGAAUACCAAAUUGCUCACCGGAUAUUACUGUAUUUUGACAUGUAUUUACAUUUCAAAAUAGACUUGAACUUCCCCAGGGGGCAGGUUUCUGAGAAAAUAUUCACUAUAAUUCCAUCAAAACAUUGACCAGUGUUUUUGAUUCCAACUUUUGAAAUGUUGUCAAAUGCAUCAUAAGUUAUAAUUAUAGCAUACAUUUCUCAAUACAUAGGUACAUACAUAUUAAUUAUGACAAAUAUGAUGCAAUAUACAUGAUGUGAUGUAAUAUAUAUAAUUAAUAUAUAAAAUAUAUUCAUAUACUAUUCUAUAUACAUUAUAUUAUCAUAGUAUUAUAUAUUUCAAAAUUGCUUUAUAUAAUUGUUUCUAUAAUUUAACUCUAUCAUUUUUAUGAUUUAUCAUAACUAAUAGAAUAAUUAUAAUCAUGUGUGGGGCAGUAAAUCUGCAUAUUGUAUAAAUAUAAGCAUAAUGUGUACACAUUGUAAAAAUCUGGUAUUGAUUCAGAAUGGAAAAUCAAAAUAUUUGAUUCUGAAAAUGUCAAAACAAAAUGUUUCAACCUUGCAAAAAUAACUGCUUACAUUUGAUUGUCUUAA